rnacentral:rRNA from 1 species
UUUCGGGCGCGAAGCCGGUCUAAGUUCCUUGGAACGGGGCGUCAUAGAGGGUGAGAAUCCCGUAUGUGACCGGCGAUCAAGCCUAUGUGAAACUCCUUCGACGAGUCGAGUUGUUUGGGAAUGCAGCUCAAAAUGGGUGGUAAAUUUCAUCUAAAGCUAAAUACUGGCCAGAGACCGAUAGCGCACAAGUAGAGUGAUCGAAAGAUGAAAAGCACUUUGGAAAGAGAGUCAAAAAGUACGUGAAAUUGUUGAAAGGGAAGCGCUUGCAACCAGACCUGCCCGCGGGCGAUCAGCCGUCCCUCCGGGGUGGUGCACGCGCCCGCGAUCAGGCCAGCAUCGGUUCGGGCGGCCGGAUAAAGUCCUCGGGAACGUAGCUCCCCUCGGGGAGUGUUAUAGCCCGGGGCGCAAUGCGGCCCGCCUGGACCGAGGACCGCGCUUCGGCUAGGAUGCUGGCGUAAUGGUUGUAAGCGGCCCGUCUUGAAACACGGACCAAGGAGUCUAACAUCUAUGCGAGUGUUUGGGCGUCAAACCCUUACGCGCAAUGAAAGUGAACGGAGGUGGGAACCCCUUCGAGGGCGCACCAUCGACCGAUCCUGAUGUCCUCGGAUGGAUUUGAGUACGAGCAUAGCUGUUGGGACCCGAAAGAUGGUGAACUAUGCCUGAAUAGGGUGAAGCCAGAGGAAACUCUGGUGGAGGCUCGCAGCGGUUCUGACGUGCAAAUCGAUCGUCAAAUUUGGGUAUAGGGGCGAAAGACUAAUCGAACCAU